rnacentral:lncRNA from 1 species
CCUGGAGGGCCGGCGGAGAGAGGGAGGGAGGGGGCGGGCGGCUUCCCGCUGCCCUGUGUCGGCGGGAAGCGAUGGGAUCGCGGCGGUGCCCGGCGGAAGGCGAGUGCCGUAGGUGGGUCCUGCGCCCCCGACGGCCGCGGCGCCCGAGGUAGCCAACACCCUUGGCUGUGUGUAUUUUGGCUGAGAUGGUGAGGAAUGCUGCAACCCAAGUGUGAUUCCACCGCCAACUCCAUCGAUGCUUCAUACUGAGAAUGGGUCUGAGGGAGAUGGAAAAGACCUGCUGGGUUUCAGGGAGGGAGGCAGGCAAGCCAGAAGCACAGACAAAGGCCAACACAGAAGACCAGACAGACUAGAUUUAAGUCAAUCAAAACUUUAUGUAUAACUGAACGCGGAAAAAAUGAAACUAUGUACAGAAAAAAACUAUAUACAGAAAGAAAGAAGCCUCUACACCGCCUGUUCUCCAAGGUCCACCUGAGAGUUCCCUGAGCAGGAGAAGCACUCAUAAAUAAAUUGGAAAGUACAACCCUGGAUCGAGUUGCA